CUCCCGGUGUCCUGGUCGAGGUGCGUGUCCCCUGUGUGUAGAUGGGUACAGGACUCUGCAUGCCGUAUCCCGCGAGCUGUCCGGACCCAGGCCCUCGCUGGCCUGCGAGGGUGCUCGCGUCUGUCCCACUCCUGUGCCUUUCGCUGUGCAUGGAGACCCUGCCAGCCUGCAACCUGUUCCCAUGGGAGCCGCCUUAGUGCUGCUGAGGAACUGAGCAGGGCAGACGGGGCUACCGGAGCUCCGUGGUGCGAUCUGCAGCCUCCAUGGUUGCGUUUGCGAGCCUUCUCCCCUCUGUACCCACUCUGAACACGGAGAUCUCCCCGUCUGUGAACUUGGCUCACACAGAUGCUUGGAAGACUCAGCAGAGAGCAGGAACACCAGACCCCGGAGAAGCCCAACUCAGGCCCGUGAGAAGUUGGCGGCAGUUUUGGGGUGGUCGCUGCUCUGUGGAGCCGCUGUCACCUGGGACGCAGCAGGAAGAGAGAGGCUUUGAAGGAAGAUCCUGCUCCCAGCUGACACAGGAGACUUGCUUGGCCCGGGCCCUCAGGAUGGCAAACUGCAGCAGGAGCAUCAGGGAUUGGUG
rnacentral:lncRNA from 1 species